rnacentral:rRNA from 1 species
GACGAACGCUGGCGGCGUGCUUAACACAUGCAAGUGGAGCGACGAACCAGGGCUUGCCCUGGGGCAGAGCCGCGAACGGGUGAGUAACACGUGGGUAGCCUGCCCAGAUGACCGGGACAACCCGAGGAAACUCGGGCUAAUACCGGAUGUGUUCGUCUCACAUCAGUGGGAUGAGGAAAGGAAGCUUCGGCCUCCGCAUCUGGAUGGGCCCGCGGCCCAUUAGCUAGUUGGUGAGGUAAUGGCUUACCAAGGCUUCGAUGGGUAGCCGUUCUGAGAGGAAGAUCAGCCACACUGGGACUGAGACACGGCCCAGACUCCUACGGGAGGCAGCAGUGGGGAAUCUUGCGCAAUGCGCGAAAGCGUGACGCAGCAACGCCGCGUGCGGGAAGACGGCCUUCGGGUUGUAAACCGCUUUCAGUUGGGACGAAGCUUCGCCGGUGAAUAGCCGGCCGGAGUGACGGUACCUUCAGAAGAAGCCCCGGCUAACUACGUGCCAGCAGCCGCCGCUGUAA